GACGAACGCUGGCGGCGUGCUUAACACAUGCAAGUCGAACGGAAGUGCCCUGCUUGUGUGGGGUUCCCGCGUUGCAAACGGGUGCGUAACAGGUGCGUAACCUGCCCUUGCCUUUGGGAUAACUUCAGCAACCUGGGGCUAAUGCCAGAUCGGAGCUCCUGCUGCAUGGUGCGGGUUGGAAAGUUUCGGCGGUUGGCGCUGUAUUUGCGGCUUAUCAGCUUGAUGGUGGGGUAGUGGCUUACCAAUGCUUUGACGGGUAGCCGGACUGAGAGGGUGACCGGCAACAUAGGGAUAGAGAUACGGCCCAGACUGCUACGGGAGGCAGCAGUGGGGAAUAGUGCGAGAUGGGCGGAAGCCGGAAACACCAACGCCGCGUGCGGGAUGACGGCUUUCGGGGUGUAAACAGCUUUCGCUUAAGACGAAGCGUGAGUGACGGUAAUGGAUAAAGAAGCACCGGCUAACUACGUG
rnacentral:rRNA from 1 species